GGUCUGCUGGCCCAAUGGCAAGGCGUCUGACUACGAAUCAGGAGAUUACAGGUUCGAUCCCUGUGUAGAUCA
rnacentral:tRNA from 1 species